AUUGAACGCUGUCGGCAGGCCUAACACAUGCAAGUCGAACGAGUGGCGGACGGGUGAGUAAUGUCUGGGAAACUGCCCGAUGGAGGGGGAUAACUACUGGAAACGGUAGCUAAUACCGCAUACCAUCGGAUGUGCCCCGAUGGGAUUAGCUAGUAGGUGGGGUAACGGCUCACCUAGGCGACGAUCCCUAGCUGGUCUGCGAGGAUGACCAGCCACACUGGAACGGAGACACGGGCCAGACUCCUACGGGAGGCAGCAGUGGGGAAUAUUGCACAAUGGGCGCAAGCCUGAUGCAGCCAUGCCGCGUGUAUGAAGAAGGCCUUCGGGUUGUAAAGGACUUUCAGUGGGGAGGCGUUACCCGCAGAAGAAGCACCGGCUAACUCCGUGCCAGCAGCCGCGGUAAUUC
rnacentral:rRNA from 1 species